rnacentral:rRNA from 1 species
CAGUAGCCGCGGGAAAACGAAGGGGGCUAGCGUUGCUCGGAAUCACUGGGCGUAAAGGGUGCGUAGGCGGGUUUUUAAGUCAGAGGUGAAAUCCUGGAGCUCAACUCCAGAACUGCCUUUGAUACUGAAAGUCUUGAGUAUGGGAGAGGUGAGUGGAACUGCGAGUGUAGAGGUGAAAUUCGUAGAUAUUCGCAAGAACACCAGUGGCGAAGGCGGCUCACUGGCCCAUAACUGACGCUGAGGCACGAAAGCGUGGGGAGCAAACAGGAUUAGAUACCCCCGUAGUCCCUGUCUCUUAUAC